GACGAACGCUGGCGGCGUGCUUAACACAUGCCAGUCGUACGGUAAGGCCCUUUCGGGGGUACACGAGUGGCGCACGGGUGAGUAACACGUGAGUAACCUGCCCACAACUUUGGGAUAACGCUAGGAAACUGGUGCUAAUACUGGAUAUGUGCUCCUGCUGCAUGGUGGGGGUUGGAAAGCUCCGGCGGUUGUGGAUGGACUCGCGGCCUAUCAGCUUGUUGGUGGGGUAGUGGCCUACCAAGGCGGCGACGGGUAGCCGGCCUGAGAGGGUGACCGGCCACAUUGGGACUGAGAUACGGCCCAGACUCCUACGGGAGGCAGCAGUGGGGAAUAUUGCACAAUGGGCGCAAGCCUGAUGCAGCAACGCCGCGUGCGGGAUGACGGCCUUCGGGUUGGAAACCGCUUUCAGCAGGGACGAAGCUUUUUGUGACGGUACCUGCAGAAGAAGCACCGGCUAACUACGUG
rnacentral:rRNA from 1 species